rnacentral:rRNA from 1 species
UACGAAGGGGGCUAGCGUUGUUCGGAAUUACUGGGCGUAAAGCGCGCGCAGGCGGUCUUCCAAGUCAGUGGUGAAAGCCCGGAGCUCAACUCCGGAACUGCCAUUGAAACUGUAAGACUUGAGGAUGAGAGAGGUGAGUGGAAUUCCCAGUGUAGAGGUGAAAUUCGUAGAUAUUGGGAAGAACACCGGUGGCGAAGGCGGCUCACUGGGCUCAUAUCUGGACGCUCAGGCGCGACAGCGUGGGGAUCAAACAGG